UACGGGGGGGGCGAAGCGUUGUUCGGAAUUACUGGGCGUAAAGGGCUCGUAGGCGGCCAACUAAGUCAGACGUGAAAUCCCUCGGCUUAACCGGGGAACUGCGUCUGAUACUGGUUGGCUUGAGUGUGGGAGAGGGAUGCGGAAUUCCAGGUGUGGCGGUGAAAUGCGUAGAUAUCUGGAGGAACACCGGUGGCGAAGGCGGCAUCCUGGACCAUUACUGACGCUGAGGAGCGAAAGCCAGGGGAGCAAACGGG
rnacentral:rRNA from 1 species